CAUAUGCUUGUUUCAAGGACUUAGCCAUGCAUGCCUCAGAAUCACUGCAUUUGCAGGAGUCUGCGCAUGGCUCAUUACAUCAGACGUAAUCUACCGCAAGAAUUUAGCGGUUUACCGUUCUAUUGGAUAACUUGUGCGAAACGCCAAGCUAAUACAUGAACCAACCGGGUGCUCUCCUUUUGCGGGACGCCCAACGAAUGAAUGACAGUAAAACCAAUGCCUUCACGGGCAGUAACACCUAGCCGUGUUGACUCAAUUCAUUCCGUGCGAAAGCCGGAUUUCCGGCGUCUUUUGACGAACAACUGCCCUAUCAGCUUGUGAUGGCCGUGUAGUGGACUGCCAUGGCGUUGACGGGAGCGGGGGAUUAGGGUUCGAUUCCGGAGAGGGAGCCUGAGAAAUAGCUACCACUUCUACGGAGGGCAGCAGGCGCGUAAAUUGCCCAAUGUCAAAAAAAAACGAUGAGGCAGCGAAAAGAAAUAGGUUUCAUAGUCCCUUUCGGGAUUGUGAUUUCAAUGGGGGAUAUUUAAACCCAUCCAAUAUCGAGUAACAAUUGGAGGACAAGUCUGGUGCCAGCACCCGCGGUAAUUCCAGCUCCAAAAGCGUAUAUUAAUGCUGUUGCUGUUAAAGGGUUCGUAGUUGAACUGAGGGCCGUUGAGUGCGCUGUCCGGUCCCACCCGCGUUCGGGUGUGUGGCCUCAGCCCUUGCGGUCCGUGAACACUCAGAAACAAGAAACACGGGAGUGGUUCCUUUCCUGAUUCACGCAUGU
rnacentral:rRNA from 1 species